ACGAGCGGCGGACGGGUGAGUAAUGCAUAGGAAACUGCCCAGUAGUGGGGGAUAGCCCGGGGAAACCCGGAUUAAUACCGCAUACGCCCUUUGGGGGAAAGCAGGGGAUCUUCGGACCUUGCGCUAUUGGAUGUGCCUAUGUCGGAUUAGCUAGUUGGUGGGGUAAGAGCCUACCAAGGCGACGAUCCGUAGCUGGUCUGAGAGGAUGAUCAGCCACAUCGGGACUGAGACACGGCCCGAACUCCUACGGGAGGCAGCAGUGGGGAAUAUUGGACAAUGGGGGCAACCCUGAUCCAGCCAUGCCGCGUGUGUGAAGAAGGCUUUCGGGUUGUAAAGCACUUUCAGUGAGGAGGAAAACCUUACGACUAAUACUCGUGAGGCUUGACGUUACUCACAGAAGAAGCACCGGCUAACUCCGUGCCAGCAGCCGCGGUAAUACGGAGGGUGCAAGCGUUAAUCGGAAUUACUGGGCGUAAAGCGCGCGUAGGUGGUUUGAUAAGC
rnacentral:rRNA from 1 species